CAAAAAAUGCAAGCUGGAUUUUCUUCGCAAUGAGUUUGCACCCCCAAAACAUUGGUAAAUAAAUCACAUAUCGAUUUAUUUGUCCUAUAAGAUUUUAUAUCUUUGAAGGAAUUACUUGUAAUGAAGGAAACCUUGAGAGAGCAUGGAUAGGGUGGAGAUGGGAGGCGACUUCCCUUCUGGGGUAUUGGAUUUAAAGGAUUGUUUUCCUACUAUAAAAAAGCCUCGGCUUUCUGUGGUAGGCUCCUUCUGCCCACCUAUAGCUGAUGUUUUUGUCCUUGGGGUGUGAUGAUCCAGAUUUUCCCUGCGUAGUGUAAUGCACAGCAGGAUACGGAGGGGAGAAGAAGAGAAGAGCACGCGGUUGUAGAGUGUGCAGCGACAGUGAGAUGCACGCGACAGUAAGAAGAGAGAGAAGAGAAGACGAGCACGUGACAAUAGGAAGAGCACGCGGCGACAGGAAGAGCGCGCGACAGUGUGCGCACAGCAGCGAGAACGCAACGCCCUAAGUGAACAAGGGGCAUCGCUGCGAAGGCAAGGAGUAGCACCGUGCAAAUAGAGGCCAGCGUCGUGCUUGUACCACCGUGGGUGUUGUGGUUAGGCCACCGGAACUAUUGAAGUAGGGUGGUACUUGAGGGACUACCUUUUUUCCUUUUUUUUCCCCUUUUUUCUUUCCCUAUCCCCUUUUUCUUUCCCUAUCCAAGUGUCACCCCCUUUCCCUUGCCACUUGGAGGUGGCUUGUUGCUACAUCUCCUUCCAUCCUCUCACUAGCCAUUUAACCCCCAGUCCUCAUCUCUCUCCUCUCCCUCUCAUUUUCACGCCAUCUCUCUCUCUUUCAUAGAGCCUCCCCCUUGGAACUUCUAUGAAACACUUUGUGGCUUGAGGAAUUUAGAGCUUGGAGGAGGAGACUGUAGAAGGAAAGAUUGGAGGGCACUUUUGUUGUUAAAAGUGACAGUGCUUGACCACGUGCAACGAGCAGCUGAUCGGUGAUAGCAGGCAUUUGGGGUUCUGACAGGUUCAGGAUUUCCCUUUUUGUCAUUCUCGAUGUUUGGUGGCAUUGCCACGUGUUGUUCUAUUUGAUGUAAUGCUUUGGGUUUAACGUUAGGCUUGUAAGCCUUAAACUUUAUUGUAAAGUUUUUGGAAAUUGAAUGAAAGUCAUGGUUUUAAUUUA